GUGAAUCAUCGAGUCUUUGAACGCACCUUGCGCUCCUUGGUAUUCCGAGGAGCAUGCCUGUUUGAGUGUCAUGAAAUCAUCAACCCCCCCUCUCUCUGUCUCUUCGGAGACUUCGGAGGGGUGGCUUGGACUUGGGGAUCUGCCGGCCCUUCGGGGUCGGCUUCCCUUGAAUGCAUUAGCCAGACUUCGGUUCGCAGCGGCUUAGCGGUGUGAUAAUAUCUUCACUGCGGCCGGCUCGGCAGUGUCAAGUUCGGCUUCUAAUCGUCCGUCUCGGACAACUUCAUUGACAAUCUGACCUCAAAUCAGGUAGGACUACCCGCUGAACUUAAGCAUAUCAAUAAGCGGAGG
rnacentral:rRNA from 1 species